GAGUCUACGAAUGUCAUUUCCGGCUUCAUCGUUGGAUGUGGAAUUUCUCUUUUCAGUCGUCGGGUGAAGAGAUUCUUAUUCUCUUCUCCUUCAUUUGCAAAGAACUAUAAAAUUUAGAAAUUUCGGAAGAAAUCUGCUUUUAUCGAAAUCAGUAACAUGUCGUUCGAUAGACAAAAUGGCGGAGGCCACUUCAGGAAUCACCAAAACGGAUUCCGACCAAAUAACUACGGUAACAAUUUUGUUCAGCGCAGUAAUUGGGGUGGAAAUAAUGGAAAUAGGUUUGGUAAUGGCUACCAAUCUGAAGGCAUUCCUAAACAGUUGCAGGAGGUUGAAUGGGGUAGCAAGCAAUUGCAUCCUUUUAAAAAAGACUUCUACAUCCCUCAUCCUACCAUCACAAACCGAUCUCCCUGUGAAGUUGAUCAAUUCCGUGAUGGAAAAAAGAUUACAGUAGAAGGCGAAAAUAUUCCAGCUCCAAUUCAGAAUUUUCAUGAGGCAAACUUUCCGGAUUAUGUUAUGGACGAAAUCGUAGCUCAGGGCUAUGAAUACCCAACUUCUGUUCAGGCUCAGGGCUGGCCAAUUGCUAUGAGUGGGCGGGAUAUGGUGGGAAUUGCCCAAACUGGAUCUGGAAAAACGCUAGCAUAUAUAUUACCAGCUAUUGUUCAUAUCAACAAUCAAGCAUCAGUGAGACGCGGUGAAGGUCCAAUUGCUCUGAUUUUGGCUCCAACAAGAGAAUUAGCGCAACAAAUACAAAAAGUCGCCAAUGACUUUGGUCAGACCUCUCAAAUUCGCAAUUGUUGUGUAUUUGGGGGUGCCUCAAAAAUUCCACAGGCUCGCAAUUUGGAAAGAGGAGUUGAAAUUUGCAUCGCGACUCCAGGCAGAUUGAUAGAUUUUUUGGAGAGAGGCACAACAAAUUUGGAAAGGUGCACCUAUUUGGUGCUUGAUGAAGCAGACCGUAUGUUGGAUAUGGGCUUUGAACCGCAAAUUCGCAAGAUUAUUAGCCAAAUCAGGCCUGAUAAACAAACACUGAUGUGGUCUGCAACCUGGCCAAAUGUAGUUAAAAAACUAGCUUCAGAUUUUAUGAAAAAUUACGUUCAACUGAAUGUCGGUUCCUUACAACUCUCUGCAAAUCCCAACAUCAAUCAGAUUGUUGAUGUAUGCCAAGAACAUGAGAAAGAAAACAAAUUGAGUCAGCUUUUGCAAGAGAUUGGAGCAGAGCUGGAAGCGAAGAUCUUGAUUUUUGUGGAGACCAAAAAAAAGGUUGAGGCUAUAACCGACACUAUUAGGAGGACGGGUUGGCCAGCGAUUUCAAUCCAUGGUAACAAGAGUCAACAAGAGCGUGACAACGUCAUUCAUCAAUUCAGAAGUGGAAAGUCCGCAAUUCUUGUAGCGACUGACGUCGCGGCAAGGGGCCUUGAGGCACAUGCAGGUUGAGCAUGUUUUUUAACUAUAGCCCACCCACUUAUAUGCAUUUGCGCUAAAAAAAAAAAAUGCAAUUUAGUCUUGCCAGUGCCUCUUUACGACCAACAGGAUUUUCAUGGAUAACUGGGUUACCUCUAUUUCAUCCCAAUGUUUUCUUAUUCCAUACUUUCCUGUCUACACUAUCCACCCUCACUAAUCGGUAGAAGGCAACUCUGCGCUGGAAUAUGUUGGCAAGACGAAAAACUGUUGCUGUCGGCAAGAGUUUUCACUUCGUUCUGGUCAGCUUAAUCUGUCGAAAGUGAAAUUGCUGUGGUCCGUUGAAGCAGAUAAAUUUGCUACUAAUUGCGUAGUUUACUCAUGUGUUUUUUAAAUUUCACAAAAGACACAGUUCACAACUUGACGGAUUUUCGUUAGAAACUCGAGUUCCAGAUGAUGUAGAAGGUAUAAAAUAUGUGGUCAACUAUGACUACCCCCAUUCUUCAGAGGAUUAUAUACACAGAAUUGGCAGAACUGGUAGGUCUGAUACUACCGGUACGUCCUACGCGUUUUUCACACCAUCAAACUUCAAGCAC